GACAGAGGGGGCAAGCGUUGCUCGGAAUCACUGGGCGUAAAGGGCGCGUAGGCGGGAUGGCAAGUCAGUCGUGAAAUCUCUCGGCUCAACCGAGAAACGUCGGCUGAUACUGCCGUUCUUGAGGGAUGCAGAGGAGACUGGAAUUCCCGGUGUAGCGGUGAAAUGUGUAGAGAUCGGGAGGAACACCGGUGGCGAAGGCGGGUCUCUGGGCAUUUCCUGACGCUGAGGCGCGAAAGCGUGGGGAGCAAACGGGAUUAGAUACCCCGGUAGUCCACGCUGUAAACGAUGACGACUAGGUGUGGGGUGGUUCAGUCCAUUCCGUGCCGCAGCUAACGCAUUAAGUCGUCCGCCUGGGGAGUACGGCCGCAAGGUUGAA
rnacentral:rRNA from 1 species